AUUGAACGCUGGCGGCAGGCCUAACACAUGCAAGUCGAGCGGAUGAAGGGGGCUUGCUCCUGGAUUCAGCGGCGGACGGGUGAGUAAUGCCUAGGAAUCUGCCUGGUAUUGGGGGAUAACGUCCGGAAACGGGCGCUAAUACCGCAUACGUCCUGAGGGAGAAAGUGGGGGAUCUUCGGACCUCACGCUAUCAGAUGAGCCUAGGUCGGAUUAGCUAGUUGGUGGGGUAAAGGCCUACCAAGGCGACGAUCCGUAACUGGUCUGAGAGGAUGAUCAGUCACACUGGAACUGAGACACGGUCCAGACUCCUACGGGAGGCAGCAGUGGGGAAUAUUGGACUAUGGGCGAAAGCCUGAUCCAGCCAUGCCGCGUGUGUGAAGAAGGUCUUCGGAUUGUAAAGCACUUUAAGUUGGGAGGAAGGGCAGUAAGUUAAUACCUUGCUGUUUUGACGUUACCAACAGAAUAAGCACCGGCUAACUUCGUG
rnacentral:rRNA from 1 species